CAUAUUCUUCGUUGUAUUGUCAUUGUAAAAUCACUUUAAAUAGCUACACCGUGCUUUUCUUACCUAUGUAAUUGUCAUUUGUGCUAAAAUUUUGGACUUAUCUACAGAUUCCUGAUUGUCCAAGGUUCUCAAGACAGUCUUACAUAAUCAACCAGUGUUGGACUUGGCCAUUUCGCCCUACAGACAUAUGUUUUGCUUCACGGACAUUUUUGGCUCGUCGUCCUGCAUGCUACCGGAGGUAAUUGGGUAGUCGUUGUUCGAGAUGAUUGGAUGAAAAGAACCGACAAAUCAGUAUUAUUGUUUAAAACAAAAACGGUGGGUAUGGGAAGGAUGAAAAAUGCACCCCCAUCGAAAGACCUGGAUGGAAUACUAAUGCACCAUUCUUUGGAGUUCUGGUAAAUUUUCCGAUGCCAAAAGAAUGGUUAUCUGGGUGGCUAAAAUUAUAUUAGUUACCAUUUUUUUUACAAUGAAAUAUAUUAAUUUUUGUCAUGUAUUUUUUUAGGCGCGCAUCGUCAAGAUGAUCGAAGGCGUAACCCUAAAAGACGCAUUAAAUCGUGCGUGAAAAAGCUCCUAGCAAGAGGUGUGAACUGAAUAAAAUUGGUGCGAAAACAAAAGGGAGUUAUGAAAUUCAGGCUAGAAGAGAGCAAAAUUCUGUAUGCUGUCUUUAUUUUAUCAUUUACAUGCUGUUAUGGUUACUAUUUUUUUCAGUUGGAAUUAAAUCUAGUUCUCUAUUUUCAAAAACUCCCGAAUCUGAAAUGGAGGUAGAAACAAAGUCGUAUUUUAAACAUGCUGUGGAGUGGGCCCGAGAACGCCUAAAAACCUUUGGAAUUUCAGAACCCUGUGGAAGCGGUCCGUCCGUUCAGAACUACUGUCACGACAAUGUUCAUUGCCAAAAAAAUUGUGAUAUGCUAUUGUUGGAUCAUAGUCGUGAAGCUCUACCACUGGAUAUUUCUUCCAAGAGUAACAAUGUCAAGGUAACGCAUAACUUCAGCAUGUAAAUUAAAAAACGUUUUUGUAGUUUAUGUCAGAUAAGCAAUCUGCUUAUUUGACCUACCAAAUUUUUCGUGAAAUCUAUGGCUAUUAGAAAAAGUAGCCUUAACAUUAAAGGGUUUUGGAGCGUUUAACGUAUUACAUACAGCGUUCCGUAAGCGUUUUGAGGGGGAAAAACUUUCGUUAAAAUGAGUCUUAUUUUUACAUAAACUAUCAUACGUUGCGUUUUCACUUCGUUUUAAUAUUACAUAACACUUCAACUUCUUAAAAUGUUUACGAAACGCUGUACGUAAUACGUAAGGCGCUCCAAAACCCUGUAGUGUGAACGUAGCUGAAGCCUCACAGGUAAAAAAGAGUCUAAGAAGUGAUUGUUUGAACUGCUAUCCAAGACGGCAAAAGGAGAAACUCUUUCAAACUUUCUAAAUUGUCAUUCGUGGUUUGCCAAAUCGUGCCGUGAUGCCAAUCCAUAACAAAAAAAAUGAGUUUUGUUCAUGUUUGGUGUUUUUUGUAACAGGGAAAAUCAUUUCCAUUUUGUCAAUUUUCAAUUUACGUGGGAUGAAUAUUGUAGCAAUUAGGACGUCGACAGAACGUAGGUAAGAUGCCUUCUCGUUGAUCACUCAUUGUCCCAUUUCUCUCCAAACUGGAAUGGUGUUUAAAUGUCCAGAGAAGGUUAUCACAAGAAAUGCAGUAGAGAUCUGACAGGGAUGUCCACUGGAUAUCGGCUACCGACUUCCUCUGGAUAUCCCUGGCACGAAAAUUUUCUACUAUGGCAAUUUCGUUUUAAAGUGGAUGGUUGUUUCGCCUGUUUUUGUUUGAAAUCUUUCAUGAGCAAUGGUUCCGAAAGCUGCCUAAAAUGCAUCACCAAAAACAUGUA
rnacentral:lncRNA from 1 species